rnacentral:rRNA from 1 species
GACGAACGCUGGCGGCGUGCCUAACACAUGCAAGUCGAACGCUGAAGGAGGAGCUUGCUUGUCCGCAUGAGUUGCGAACGGGUGAGUAACACGUAAGUAACCUGCCUGGUAGGGGGGGACAACUCUUGGAAACUAUAGCUAAUACCGCAUAAGAGUAGAUGUUGCAUGACAUUUGCUUAAAAGGUGCAGUUUCAUCUCUACCAGAUGGACCUGCGUUGUAUUAGCUAGUUGGUGAGGUAACGGCUCACCAAGGCGGCGAUACAUAGCCGAGCUGAGAAGGUGAACGGCCACACUGGGACUGGGACACGGCCCAGAGUCCUUCGGGAGGGAGCAGUAGGGAAACUUCGGACAUGGGCGGCAAUCUGACCGAGCACAGCCGGGGGAGGGGAGAAGGGUGUCGGGUCGUAAAGGUCCGUUGUAAGGGAAGAAAGCGUGUGAGAGUGGAAAGGUCAGCCAGUGACGGUAUCUUACCAAAAAGGAACGGCUAACUACGUG